rnacentral:rRNA from 1 species
UACGUAGGUGGCAAGCGUUGUCCGGAUUUACUGGGCGUAAAGGAUGCGUAGGUGGAUAUUUAAGUGGGAUGUGAAAUACCCGAGCUCAACUUGGGUGCUGCAUUCCAAACUGGAUGUCUAGAGUGCAGGAGAGGUAAGUGGAAUUCCUAGUGUAGCGGUGAAAUGCGUAGAUAUUAGGAAGAACACCAGUGGCGAAGGCGACUUACUGGACUGUAACUGACACUGAGGCAUGAAAGCGUGGGGAGCAAACAGG